UUAAAUUACAAAUAGCAAAUUAGAGAUUUCAGAUGUAGCUUCUGUUAACCAGGCACAGGGACCAUGUUCUGUCUUUGGUUCAUAUAUCUAAUUCUGUUAUCUAACAUAUGAAGGACAAUGGUCGUGCAGGAUGGCCAUCCACCAUUGGGUUGGCAUGACACUGCUGCAUACCUUGUUUUACCUGUGCUUCUUGUUGUUAGUCAAUAUGUUUCAAUGGAGCUGAUGAAGCCACCCCAGGUAAGAAGAACUUGUCUCACUACUUCCGUUUCAUUCUUAUUUUGCAUAUUAAUUUGGUAAGAAGUUUGAAUCUUUCAAAUUUUCUUUUGACAGACAGAUGAUCCAGCCCAAAAGAACACUCUUCUUGUUUUCAAGUUUCUUCCGCUUAUGAUUGGUUACUUUUCAUUAUCUGUUCCGUCAGGAUUAUCUAUUUACUGGUUGGUCUCUUUUGGCAAUUUUAUUGAAACCAAUAGCCUUAGUAAUAUGCACUUUGCUUCUAGUUUGUUUUUUAAUCGUGUUACCAAUAGAUACUGCAUGCAGUGGUUUUUAUGUGGCCAUGAUUCAAAAGCAUGAAUGUAGCACUUCAUAUUCUUGUGCUAUCAUUAACUUAUGAUGUAUUAUGUGCCAGCGGGACUAGAACUUGCAAACUUCAUUUUCUUCUAUUUUCUGCUGUUAAUAAUGCUCUUGAGGUUGGGUGUAAAUAUCCAAUUGGAAUUUGUAUAUAUUAGCAUAAAAUAUGUAACUGAACUUGCAUACAUGAGAAUAAUUGUCCCAGCUUCAGAGCAUUUCAUUCCCUCUGGAUUUAAUUUGAGCACCCACCCCAGUAUCUCCACAUAUAACUUUUAUCUUCAUUUGUUUUCAUACUAUGCGCAUAAUAUGUGUGAAUCUCUGUUCUUGUUUGUCAUUUCCUGUUGAAUGUAGUAUAAACAUGUUGCUCAUUCUAGCCUUCUAAAUGAAAUUGGUUGCUUGAGCACUGUGCAUUUUUCCUUAUUCUAAGUAGUGGUACGCCCAAACUUAAUGUUAAAAAUUUAGCUUCCUAUUAAGCUGUAUAGAUUGUCAUUUCUGUGGUGUACCCAUUUUCAGGUUCACGAACAACGUCCUUAGCACUGCACAACAAGUGUGGCUUCGCAAAUUAGGUGGUGCAAAACCUGUUGUUGAUGAGAGUGCAAGUGGAAUUAUUACUGCAGGACGUGCAAAACGGUCAGCUGCUCAGCCAACACGGGCUGGGGAUAGGUUAGUGCCUGGCUUUUUAAAUUAUGUACACGGUUCUGUUUUUUCUUCAAUUUUAGCAUGCUGAAAAAUAAAUGGAAAUUUACAGGUUCAGGCAGUUAAAAGAAGAAGAGAAGAAGAAGAAAGUAAGCAAGGCUCUGCCAGCAGAAGAGUUUCAGAGUCUAGAUUCAGCAUCUGAUUCUGAUGGGGAAUCAGAUGAAGAGACAAAGGGCAAGGUAAUAUUAUAACUUUCACUUUCCAGAAAAUAAUAAUGACAUGUUUAGAUUGACAGUUGUCUAACAGAAUAAUUGUGGGACCAUUUGCAAGGUUUUAGCUUCCCUUGCGAGUUGAAUUCUAUGAAGUCAUUUGUGAUGAUAAUACUACUUUUAACUGUCAUGUAUGGAUCUUCUAAAAUAGUCAUUUAGGACAGUGAACAAGAAGCAAAUAAUGACAUUGAAAGCUAGUUAUGGCAGAGAUGAAAUUAAUCUGCCUCUGCAUGUUAUGGCAGCAUGAUUACAUACACAAAGUUUCGAUUUUGUGGUAUCUGUAGGUGGGUUCCACUGCUGCAAGAUCCAAUAUUGACUGAACUAUAUAAUAAAAUCAAACAGUUCCUUUUGUGCGUGAGUGCAAGCAUGGUAUGCUAUUAACGUAGGGAGGAUUAAUUGGUAACAUGAGGGGACAUUAGCUACGACCAGACUUGAAUUGUCUUAUAUGCAUAAUGAGUUUUAUUGCAGAUAACUGUAGUUAACUUUAAAACAGCAUUGGUGAUUCUCUUUUUCUGUACUUGAAGAAUAUAUGUUAAAUUGCAUUACAUAUUUCUGUUGUAACAAUCUAUACAGGUAUGGUAGGUUUGGCCUUUCUAUGUCAAUAAUCAUAAAACCUCUUUUUAGGCGUUUAGGUAGAAGGCUGGUAUUUUGAUGUGUUGGUUGGAUGCUUUCCUAAUAUUUUACCGUUCGAAAUUGUGCCAACUACAGCUGGUGGAUUAAUGCAAAUAUGAAUCUUACCCCGUUUAUUUUCAAAAGAUAAUGUCUAAUUUCAAGUCUGCAACAGGGUGACGAGGCUCUCGAAGAAGCAUAUUCUUCGAGUGCAAGCAAUCAAGUUCCUAAUAUUUCUCAGCCAAGACGAAGCAAGAGAUCUAAGCGGAAGCGUGCUGUAUAAGAUGAUUGUACACUGAAUUAUUUUAGUUUACGGUGAGUCUCGUAUAUUUAAAGGAAUUGUAUUAUUUUUAAUAUAGUGGCAAUUUUGAUGCUGGCUCAUUCAAGAUAUGUUGAAAAUCAUGAAAUACUCCACAUCCAUGCUCCAAGAGGCCCCUAUUUUUCGUAUGAUCGUUGAUUGGUUUGAGAAAUUUUGAUUAAACUAAGUACUAACCUGACAUUUUUAUCUUGUGGCAUGUUGAGCUAGCUGUUAAACAUUUCAAGCCUCAUCCCUGGAAACUUUUGUGAUGGGGAUUUUGUUGUGCUAAUAGUUACACUGUCAUUGCUUCCUCUUAUCUGAUCUGUACCUCUGUAGCAUGGUUUUUUUUUUUUAAUAAUUGAUUUCCUCACUCAUAAAGAUUUGUCAGCAGUUCUUUGUUUAAAAAUUGUUUCAGCCACCUGAGGAGCCAUUUGUUGACAUAUUUACUUGCAGUCACAUUCAAGGUUCGAAUCAAGCCUACAUUUCCUUUCACAUAUGAAAGAUGAGUGUUUCUUUCUUCAGAAAUGGGAUAGUCUAGCAUGCAUUUGUGGUAGCUGCAAUGGAUAGUAGCAUUAUAUUGUAGAAUAUUGUAUCGAGGUAGGAUUACCUUCUGACUGAAGAAAACUGAACAUACCAUUGCACACAAAACUACUCUUUACUAGGUGAGAGAACCAGGACUAACUCAUCUAGAACUUUUAAUACAUGAUAGAAGCAUAUAGUAGUACAUUGAUACUUGCUUUCUCACAUGAACCUUACAAAGUAAAAUUCAUUUUUGUACAAGCACAAAAACCUACAUAGAGACAUCUUACUUCUAUUCUGCUUUGUGUCACCUUAGUGUUUAGAUGGUGACCAGCGAUUUUCGACUGGGUUGGGUCCAGAUGGGGAUUUAUGAAUCUUCUUCAUUUCAACCUGUUUUUCACCAUUUUACAGUGGCAAGUAGUUGUUUAGUGAAUGGAUUUUGUUAUACCAGCUACUAUAGAAAGAGACUACAUAGUGCUUACCCAGGUAGGCAAUGCAUUUCUAACACGUGACCUCGGCAUUAGGCUUCUAGGUCUGCUGAACUUUAAGUGAACUGUUGGCACUAUAGAAAAAAAACAUAAAUGCAUUAGAAUUUAGAAACUAUAUGUAAAGCCUUUUUCAUGUAGUUGUAUGCAACGCAUUGAAUGCUAAAACCGAGAAAAGGGGGGGGGGUAGGGGGUGAAGAUUGCCUGAGUCAAUAGCUUGAUAACUGAUUUCGGAUCCCUGGAGUUGAUAAUGGAUAAGCAGGAGCCAUGCUAGUAGAAGGUAGAUCAGAACUCGGUCUCUCAUCUUAUGCAUAGGUGGUGACAUAUGCUGCAUGCUUUGAUUAUCUUACAAGAAUGAAGGAGCAUUUUAUUGAUGCGUUUUUCUUUAAUCAUAACCAAACUUGAAAAUAUAUUUAAGAAUGUUUGUUAAAGGUGCUGGAGAAUCAUAUGGCAUUAUGAACAAAUUUGACAAAAUCUGUGUUUCUUGUUAUUGUGGAUUUGACUUUCCUCUUAGUUAUCAUUUCUCAUCUAUCAUUGCAUCCAUCCAUGAUAUAAAUAAUUAGAUGAUAUUAAAUUUUUGUUCAGUGCUUUGAAUCUUGCUGUCGGCGUGGGUGUCGGGACCCACCAAUGAAUAUUUAGAUCUCGAGUUGCUGUAUGUAUGACAGUUGCAGAGGCACUGAAAUUUUUUUAAGACUUAAGCAGAUAAGCUAACAGAUUUUGUUUUUGAUUCGUGUCGCUAAUUUUGUUGCGAGAAAAAGGUAUCACUGUCUUCAAAUUUCAUUAUUGUUGAGGGGUGUCCUAUAUGCCGUAGGUUACAGGUUCAAAUUCUACCAAGUUGAUAUUUUCUUGGUAAAUAGCCGUGUGUCUACGCCUCUUCAAGCAACUGAUGAGGUGUUUCUAUUCCAUCGAAUUCAUCGCCUCUUCAAGAACUCACUUGAUAUACCCAUAUGUUAUCACUUUAUUAUUUUAAAUCUAAGGCAAAAUGAUCUUAGGUGAGAUGCGCGAUGAUCUUAAAAGUUUUGCUGGCUUUGUUUUACCAUAUACAAAACUCAAAACUGGAAUCUUGUUUAAAGGAUAACCACGUCUUGCAAAUUCCCCACUCUCGAAAUUUAUUUGUGCAGAGUUUGAGCAUUAGGCAUUGUGGACAAAAUAUAUUAUGGGAAUGGCCCAUGUUGUUCAUGAUAUGAUUAUAUUAAGAUUUUAAAGUAUUUGAUUGUAUUGUAAUAAUUGGAAUUUAUGCAAUUAAAAUUUCGAUUUAAGUUUUGGUACUUGUUUAAAAAUGGUGUGUUUUCUUAAAUAGAAGUAUUUAGUUCCCAAAACGUAGGAAAAAUUAAACAAAUAAGUAGACUUUUUCUCCACCAUUGUUUAUAUCAUAUAUAGAGCUUCAUUAAUAUCCGUCAAAUUUUCUUUUUUGGUACAAAGGAGGCUGCAGCUCCAGCAUGGGAAGAGUUUAUAAAUACCAGGAUUUAAACUCCACACAUGCUGGAGUCAAGUGAAAUUCGACAGUACUUGAGUUUAUAGACAUAUAUCAAAGACCUCCAAUGUUAACAACAUCAAAUGCAUGCAGGGUUUUUCACAGGGACAUUUAAUCUGCCAAGGCCCUCAUCAUACAUAUUUCUCACACCAGAUGCUACAAUAAAAUAUAUACGUAAAUACUAAGUUUUAUGAGAAAGACAAAAUAAACCACAAAAAAAAAAAAGAGCAAUUAUACUAAACAAAUGUAAGACUCUGUGUUUUAAAGCACAUCAAAGAUACUUGAACAGUUUCCCUGCACAAAAUGUUGCCUGGCUGUAAAAUCCUUGUUUUAACUGCACAAUAUCAUGCAAAACCUAACAGAGCCAACCUCACAUUUACAGUAUUUUGAUGACCAUUCGGCCCUUAAACCAACAACAGAAGCUAAAAUGAAAAGAAAAAAAAAAAAACCCAGCAACACUUGCUUUUCCUUGUAGAAAUGCUCCAAGCCUUUUUCAGUUAUAAAGAUGUAAAGGAUCAUUACACAAUAUGAACAUAUGAGAUCAUUAAACAAUGUAAGGAUCAUUGUACAAUGUACAUCAUUUCAUUAGUUGAUAUUUGCUGUUCAUAAGAGGAGAAUUUUACAAAAGGAUUUUGAUAGUGCAAGAAGAAGCAUGGCAUUCAUAGGCAUAAACCAUCAUUUUGAGCUGUAAUGUCAAGUCUGUUGUCAUGGUUACAGCAAACACCAUGGAGUUCCUUCAUAACUGCACUUACGCGAAGAUUGCUUCAUCUAUCUAGUAUUGUUGUAACUGUAAACAAAGAAUGUUGCAUAUACGAUGGCAGGCCUCGUGUCAUCAACUCUGCAUCUUCUUUCCUCUCUCUCGCCAUCUCUUUCUCAUUAGUGUCCCUUGCACACAUGAAAAUAGAAAUUGACCAUCAAACACAUUAUAUAUAAUAAAAAUUUUAAAAAAUAUAUUAAAACCAUAUUUAUAUUUAUUAAUAAUAUAUAAAAUAAAUUUAUUUUAAUGUUAAAUGAUAAAAAAAAAAUGUUUUACAGCAUAUCAAAGAUGAUCACCUGAUUAGUUUCGCUGCAUAAAAAUGUUGGCGUUGGCCUUAAGAUCCUUGUCUUUAACUGCCAAAGCCAUCAGCAGGUAUACUACUAUAAUCCUGCAAGCCGCCAUUUUUAUUCAAAAACCAACUUUUUCAACCCAAAAAAAGUAAUAAAAUGAAGGAACUUAUAUAUGCAAUAUAAACCUUCUUCUCCUUCUCAACUUCAUAGGGAGAUCGGGCUGUCCAGCUCUAACCAUAGGCUGAAAAUACCAAACAAUAGGAAAAAAUAUGUUAAUAUUAUUCAAAGGUAUAUAAGUACAUUACAAGCUGGUCAGAUUAAUUUGGAUUAAAAAUGUAUGUCUUUGCAAAUUCAUUUUGUCUGAACUCUUGCACUGAUCUGAUUCAUCACUCUUUUGCUGCUGAGCUACAUUAGCUUUCAUAGGAAGAUUACUAACAAAUUCAUUUUUUCUGGACUCACAGUCACUCGACAUCUCAAUAAGUAACUCAAGAGAGACAUUAGUUGCAGAGGCUACAACUCGAACAGAUUCAUAUUCAAUUAGAAGUCCAACAAGAACAAUACUAACCUGUUCUUGAUCAGAAAUGCCAGUUCCAGCUGCAGCCAGAACAUCACACGUGUUUGAUCUUGAACAAAUAUUCUUUGAUAGACAGCUGCCCCUUCUUUUGAGAAUACAGCAUGUGUCUCAGACUUGAAAGUUUAAUACUGGAAUGAGUUGCAAACUUUCUUUCGAUGGUCAUAACUACAUCAUAACUAGUUUUGGCAUUUAUUAAGUACAGUAAAAUCCAUCACAUAUAGUAGAAAGUAACCAGGAGGCCAGAAGCUUAUCUUGCUGUUUAUAUGGAAAAAAAUCUGGAUUGUCAACCAGAUUCCCAUCUGCAUCAGUCACAAAUUGAGAAAUAUGACGAGGAUUAUAACACAUAUUGCUGCCUAAUUUGAUGUUUCCACAAGAGAAAAUUAUUCUCAGUGAGCUUAACCGUGUCAUGUUUGGGAAAUUGCUGAAUUCUUUUGACCAAUCGACAUGAACUUGCCACUGGAUCUGAAUUAGGAGUGUGAAGUUGAUCACCUGCAUUAGAGGAAGAAUGUCCACCAUGACCAGAAUCUACUUCUGGAACCAUUAAAACUGAUCUUUGAAAGAUUGAACCAAGAAAGAUGAUCACCACCAAGAAACAAAGAAAACCUCUCUACUCAGCCAAAAAAAGAGCUGGCACUGGUACCAUGUUUACAUCUACCACAAAGAAAACUCAACUAAAAAAAACAGGAUCUACUUCCUUUAUUGAUUAGAACUCUAAUAAUCCCAAAAGGACCGAGCUCACUUAUUUAUACAAGAGUUUGGAUAAUGCAUCAGCCAAGAAUUUAGUCUAACAACUUGAUCCUAACCAAUUUCCAGCUGAUGCAUUAUCAGAACGUAAACAGUUUACAUUGACAACAACUUAACUGAAUUCUUCCUAACUAACUUCUUUAACUAAUAGUCGAGCCAAUCCUUCAGUUCUCUAAGGAUGCAAACUUUUCUACUGUAUCUGGUUUUGUUUUUCAUUUCAGGAUGCAUUGUUGGUUUUGUACUUUAUUUGGUUAGCUGAAUACUCAUCAAAAUAUUAGACUGAUAUUUUAAUUGUUGUCAGCUUAGGUAGUUUUCAUGAUUUUGUUAACAACAUCAAAUGCAUGCAGGGUUUUUUCGCAGUGGCAUUAAUCAGCCUAGGCCCUCAUCAUACAUAUUUAUAACACCAAAUACUACAAUAAAAUACGUACAUAGAUAUUAAGUUUUAUGAGAAAGAAAGACAAAAUAAACCAGAAAAAAAUGAGCAAUUUAUAUACUAAACAAAUGUAAAACAAUGUUUUUAAAGCACAUCAAAGAUGCUCACUUGAAUCAGUUUUCCUAAACAAAAUGUUGGCUUUGGCAACAAAAUCCAUGAAAAGUACUACCUAAGCCGACAGCAAUUAUAAUACCGGUCUAAUUUUUUGAUGAGUAUUCAACGAACCACAUGAAGUACAAAACCAACAAUACAUCCUGAAAUGAAAAAUAAAACCAGACGCCGUAGAAAAGUUUGCAUCCUUAGUGAACUUAGAGUUGGGUAAUUCAGUCGCCUUUCUCCGAGGAGUGGUGCAUUAAUCACCUGGGUUCCAUCCCAAUACAGUAACCGGUCCCUGCAUGCAACCACUGCCAUUUACAUUCUAAUUUCGGAAUAUUAUUCUAUAUUUCAAAGCAAAUAUAUAUAUAUAUACUUACACAUGAAGUACAUAACUUCUUUCCAUUACACGAUGGAGAGGCCUAUCACCAUCAAACGUAAACUGGAAACAGCAAGACAAAUAAAUAAGUAAAUCUUAUUAAAGGACAGCAUAAUCAGAAACAAAAUCAUCGGAAAAACAAAAAGAGAGACAUAGAAAAGAAGCUACAAAUUGCUCGCCAAUGUGCCUGUUGCAUCCAUUGCAACGGACAUUCACCGCUGGAAAAUUAAAGAGGAACCUACGAGUCGAUAUAGGAUCGCUCUUCACAUUGACACUACAAAUAUCAAGCAACCGCAAUGAUUAAUCUAUAAUAUUUAUUCUACUCUGUUACACAAUGUAAUGUAAUGUAAUGUAAUGUAAUGUAAUGUAAUGUAAUGAGACAAGUAUCUUACGCAUUGUGGCAGAGAAAUCUAUUCACCACCCCUUCUAUCUGAAAAGUUUGUUUAAAGUAAGAUGACAACUUAUAAUGAUAAUAUAUAUAAUGUACGUAUAGGUCUAUAUAUCUACUCAUACAAUGAUUCUCACAUGAACAUUUUGAAACUUUAUAAGGUUUUCAAGAUAAAAAGCUUUUAAGUCCCAAUCAUUCUUUGCUUGAACAACACAAGAAUCAAGAACAAGCAAUCCUAUGAAUAACAAAACCAAGAACUGAAGUUCCAGUAGUAAAAGAAAAACCUUUAUAUAUUCAUAAGAGAGAAAGAGAGAGAGUUAUUACAGUAAUGAUGACGUUGUCCAAGGUGAGGAGGUGGUUUCUGCAAGUGCGGCAUAAGAAGAAACGAUUACGAGUAUUCAAUCGAUAUCUGACGGGGUUUGUGGCCAUUGGAAUCCAAGAAACAAGUACUUUCAGAAAUGAUUUGAGCCGUGUCCAAGAAACACCCAUCGUUUUAUUAUAACGUCCGGAUUUCAGAGGGAGAAGAAAGCAGCAAAAGGGUUCUUGGAUGUGAGUUUGGAGAAAUGGGAAUGGUUUCAGCUCACGGAUUUUAUAUAAACAACAAGAAAGCAGAUAGAUUGCUUCUUUUCCAGUUGUAACUGUCAAGAUUGGGAUAUCUCGGGAAAACCAGCUAAAAUUCUAAACUACAAUGGUAUGGGAUAAUAUUAAAAUUUAUUAGUUGCUUAUGUAAUUAUAUAAUUGUAAUGACUAGAAGAAGUGGAGAAAUGACAAAAUCAAACUUUGUACCACAAACAGCUGAAUUAUAAUAUAAACGAGGGAUUACAAGCCUAGAAUAUAUAAACUAUGUACUACAAUAUAUAUGGUAUGGGAUAAUAUAUGGUCAUGCAAGCUUAAGUAGCUCUACAGCAUUAUGGCUUAAAAUGUAGUUGAUAGUCUUUUUCUCCACCAUUGUGUAUAUCACAAUAUUGACAUUCACAUUCAGCUUCAUUAAUAUACAUCCAACAUUCCUUUUUAAUACAAAGAAGGCUGCAGCUCUAGUAUGGGUAGAGGUUAUAAAUACCGGGAUUCGAACUCAAGACAUGCUGGAUGUCGACUCUUAAUUUCAGAGUGAUUGCAUGGAUCAAUUGGAUUAAGCCCGAGUUACCGAUAGAAGGCGAAAAAGGGUCACACAACAAAUAUCCCAUAUAUAUUCAUACAACAGAAAGCUAUUACACAUAUAAUACACCCCCUAAUGUGAAUGUUUAACUCAUAUUCAGUGCGUUAGAUAACAGAGAAAUACUAGUGGGAAAUUGCGAGUAGAGCUUGUGAUUGCUUCUCAUAGCGGAAACCAUUUCUCUUAGAAUCAUCUGCAGACCAAACAAAUAUCCCAUGGAGUUUGUUCUCACUCUUCAGCCUACUGCAGGCAGUAAAGAAGCCAUUUUUCGGUGUCAAGCCACCGCUGCCGUCGCUUAUAAAGCUGGCUAAAACCUUACCACCAUUAUAGUUAGAGCUUUGGGUGUUGAAGUAAUUGAUGAACUGAGAGACUGUUGUUCCUUGAUCGUAGGCAUAAAACUGGAAGUUGACAUAGUCUAUGAGGUCACCAUAGCUUUGCCACAAGGCCUUGUAAUGACUUUGAACAUCAUCAUCGUCAAAUGGAGCUAUGGAAGCGAAAGAGAUCACUCCAUUAUUCUUGAGGGUUUUUACAAGUUUCCCAAUGCACUCAGCGAAAGUGUCAGGAUUAGCUGUUGAAAUUGGCCAACCAUGCUGCUGUUUGAAGUGCAUGCAGCUUGAUGACAUGCUGCAGCACGUAUACUUGCUGUAACAGCAAGGUUUUCUCUUUAGUUUCUUUGUUAAGCUACUUAGUUGAAAAUGAACUAAGUUGGUAUUGUUCUGAUGUUUUUAGGUGCUGAUUGACAUAAUCAGCUUGUGUGCAAGUUAAGUUUUACUUGUUUCAAAGUAAAACUAGUGGUAGUAGGUAGUAUUUGGUGAUGUAUUUGACUAUAUAUAUGUUGUUUUUCUAGUUGAAUGAAUGAGCUGAAUGAGCUAUCAGCUUUAGCUCCCUUGCUGCACGUUUGUGAGCAAGUAAAUUGUUUUUGUUUCUUCCUCCUUUGUUCUCUGUCUCGUUUUUUUUCUUUUUGCUGCUGCCAAUGUUCCAACAUUAGCAUUGAAGUGCUCAUAGUCAAUAUCAAUCCCAUCCAAGUGGUACUCUUGGAUGAUAUCUGUGAGUGAAGAAACUGCGUUAGAAACCCAAGAAUCUACAGAGGAAGGGUCGAAGUAAGCAUAGCUAUCUCCCACACUGUCCCCUCCUAAGCUCAAAGCUACUUUAACAUUUGAAUGGGUGCUCUUGAUGGAAGAAACUUGGGAAGGACUGAGGUUAUCAGAGUCCCAAAAGACAUUGAACUUCCCAUUUGUUGGAGAAGGAGAACCUGAGGUGCUGUCAUAGUCUAUGGCAAAUGAAAGAAUGAAGUGGAAUUCAACGUUUGAAUCAAUGGGAACAUCAGUGAAUUUAACGUUGUUGAAUUCAGCUCCUAUGUAUUCUCGGAAAAGGUCCGAGUUCUCGGGAGCUGCUUGGAUAGACAUAUGGCAAGGGAAAAAAACCUGGAAAACGAAAAGGGCAAUGAGAAGCUUAGAAGAGUCCAUUGCUGCUGUGAUGUAGGCUUGGAGUUGAAGGAUUACUCUCGUAAAAAGGUUAAUAUAUAGGCGUUUGACUGCAGAAUACAAAGGUUUGAAGGCAUAGGGAGAUUAAAAAUAAAGAAAUGCUUUGUUUGCUUAUGAAUCUGGGAUAUUUAAUCACAACAAAUAGGCUACUAUUUUGGUCCUGGAGAUGUAUCACAAAAUACCAGUAAUAUAAAUGAAGCUGGUAUCUUCUUGCAGGGUACGAUAAUGAUAUUAUUUUGUCUUGCUGCAGGGGUAUGAUAGUUAAUUAAAACAAGAACAGUGACUUGCCUUACAAGGCAUGUGAGAGAAAUCUGCAAAUUUUGACAUUUGAAUAUAUGUUUUAUGUAAUAUUUCAACAGUUUGUUGCUCUUAGAUACCCAUAAGAAAAGUUUUCUGUAGAUACAUUAAGAAGAUAUUAUUGUAUUCAAUUCAUUGGUCGACUUUUUUAUUAUUUUGGCCAAGGAGAUCUCCUACAAAAAAAAAUACCAGUAAUAUUAAUGAGGCUGAUAUCUUCUUGAACACAAUUAGCAAGGCAUCUGAAUGUAAACGACAAAGAUUAUUGUCACAUAUAUAUUAGUUAAACUGUUACUUUAUCUUGUACUCGGCAGUGAUUUGCCUGACAAGGCAUGUAAGAGGAAUCUGCAACUAUUGACCUUUGAAUAAUAUACUUUUUUUUAACCCAAAUUCUUGGUUUCCCGAAAAUAUGUUGAACUUUCCAUUUGUAGGUGAUGGAUGAUUGUCAUAAGCAUAAUCAAUUGCAAAAGCUAAAGUGAAGUGAAAUUCGACCUUGACCCAACAUAAAAUGCAGGCUUUUUACAGUAGCAUUAGUCAGCCUAAGCCUUGAUCAAGCAUAUUACUAACACCAAAUGCUACAAACAAAAUACAUACAUAGAUAUUAAGUUUUAUGAGAAAGAAAAAAAAAAAGAAAAAAAAAGAAGCAAUUUAUAUACUAAACAAAUGUAAAACAAUGUUUUAUAGCACAUCAAAGAUGCUCACCUGAUUAGUUUCUCAGCGUAAAAAAUGUUGGCAUUGACCUUAAAAUCCUUGUUUUUAACUGCCAAAACCAACAGCAGGUAUGCUACUAAUCCUGCAAGCCGCCAUUUUUAUUCAAAAACCAACUUUUUCAACCCAAAAAAAGUAAUAAAAUGAAGGAACUUAUAUAUGCAAUAUAAACCUUCUCCUUCUCGACAUCAUAGGGACAUCGGGUUGUCUAGUUCUAACCAUAGGCUGAAAACACUAAACAAGGGACAAAAAUAUGUUAAUCUUACUCUCAAAGGUAUAAGUACAUUACAAGCUGAUCGGAUUAAUUUGGAUUAAAAACGUAUGACUUUGCAGCUUUAUGACUUUAAAACGUAGUUGAUAGACAUUGAUAACAGAUGUUACGGAUGAUGCUUCAAGACACAAAAUAGUAUAAAUUCAACUAGCCCAAGUCAAAGUCAAACUAUUCUGAUUUAGAUCCUAAUAGUUCUGUUUAAAAUGGUUUAGUGAUUUUUUUUAUACAAAAAUAUAGAAAUAAAAGAACUAUACAAUGGUUUAGUAGUGAUUAUUACUAGUGUAGAAUCAAGUUAUAUUAAUAUGUGAUACAAUUAAAUUCAUAGUGUAAGGGAUUGUUUCUUUAAAUCAAAAUUAAUUCUUUCAAUAUUUUUUCAUCCAUAAUAUUUAAAUUUGAAAUUUUGCUUUUAAUAUCGAGUUACGUAUAACUUGAUCUAACAAAUGUUAGUACAUGAUAUGCAAAAAUCCAUCUUUUUAUAUAACCUUUCUCUUUAAAAAAAUAAACAAAUUAAUGAAGCUAUUAUAUCAUAUCAUACAAUAUGAAAUAGAAUGUAAAUUUGGAGUUUAAAAAAAUCAAUUUAAAUAAAUAAAUUAACGAAACUAUUAUAUCAUAUCAUAUAAUAUGAAAUAGAAUGUUAUUUUGGAAUUUUCAACUUUUUGUUUAAGUUGAAUUGAAGUGUAUAAACAAAAAGGUAAGAGUGUUGAUUAAGUCUUAGUUCGAUUGGUAUGGAUAUUAUUGUUAAUGCAAGAGGAGGUGAGUUUAAGUAUGCUAAAGCACAUUAUCCUCUUAUUUAUCUGUCACACUUCUUGAGCUCAAUGCUACCACUACUGUAGCUUUUUUUAAUACAGGCAUCAUUUUGUUGGACUUUUAAGGGUUUUUUUUAAAAAAGAAAUAUCGGUAUUUUAUACUUACAUUAAAAUUAAAAUCAAGUGAGGUAAAGUUUUUAUAAUGAUGGUUUUUCAUUCACAAGUUUCAGACGCGAGACUUUACUUAACGAUCAUUGAAUUCCAUACCACAAUCUAACAAGUAUUAAUAACUUAAAUGGUUUAUAUUUUUGGUUUUUAGGCUAUCAAGAAAUUAAAAAAUGUUAUAUAUAUGAAAAUAAAUCUACGGUGUAAAAUUAAAGGAUUUUACAUUUUUUCUUGACCCUUAGAUAAAAAAUAAAUGAAGGGUAAAAAAUGACUUCAAUUUAAAAAUAUCACUUAUUUUAGGGUAAAAAAAUGUGAAUUUUUUUUAAUUUUGCACAACUAAUGUAAGUGGAAUAUAUAUUAGUUUCAAAUUAGAUGUGAUUUUAUUGAUUUUACUGAUAUAUUUUAUAAAUUUUUAAAAAGCGACUCUCAUUCCUAUUACAAGGUUAAAAAAAUGAUAAUUGAAAUCGAAUGGUAUGAUAGGUGGGAUUUGUCAUUUUUUAAUUAAAUUGGUAUUAUAUGAACUCAGAGUCUAAUUUCUAAUCGGCUGAUAAAGAUUUUUGAGUUAUAUCCUCUAUUGUUUGUUUUAAAAAUGCAUAUUGUAGUAGUAAAUAUGAGAAAGUCUUCUUACUUUAUUAAGUUUGUGUAAACCCACAUUGCCUAGAGACGGAAAGCAAAUAGCUGACAUCUAGUAUAAAAUAGAAGCGCCCCCCAGGGAGAUGAGCAUGAUCCUUCAGGCAGCAAACGGGAUAUGAUGAGUGGUCAUUACUCGCAAGCGUUGCGAGAUGGGUGUCCGCCGCAAAGCCUGGUUACGACACUUGGGCACUCCCAUUUUUACCAUCUGAUCCCUAUGCGAAAUAGAUCCUAAAUUGUUGUUAGGAGCUAUGAGAUCGCUGUCAGCGUCUAGGGUGGAGUUGGAGGAGCUGGAAACCAUAAGAAUCCUUAGAAUGAGAUAUUAAUUUCUUGGUUAAAAAAAUAUUUAAACCAAAAUAAAUAAAUACGUUAAAAAAUAAUUGUUGAUAUGUGACUGUUUUUCAAUAGCAUUUUGAGAUAUCGAUCAACAACAGGAAGCUGUUAGCUUGAGACAUUAUACCUCUUAAAACAAAACCUUACAGUAUCGCUAAUUCUUUUGUCUGAAAUUCUGUAUAAAGUUGGGAAAAAGCAAAAGCGAAGCUCAAAAUUACCUGAAGGUCUCUUUCUGGUCACAAUAUGUCAUUCAGUUCUAGCUCACUUGUUUGACAAUCUUGCAUAGUAGCUUUCCACUUAUUUAAAUUCCGUCUUAUUUUGCUAAAGAUUAUUCUUCAGUUUAUUGACAGUCUCUAUUGCAUUUUGUUUGCUGCAAGACUGUUCAUAUAUUUAUGUUUGUGUUAUCCUACAGUUACAAUGCUGUUUGUCAUACAUAAAAUUAUUGUAGGGUAUGGUGAAUAAUGUCAUGUCCUUGGUAUCUCAGCCACAUCUGUUCUGCAAUUGCAGGGCACUCAAGCACGCGAGAAAAACGAAUUGUUGCUUAAAGAGUUUGGUAUCGACUACAAUACAUUGCCAGUCAUGUUCCGGCUGGGUUCUUCCGUUUUCCAGGUUAAGGUUGCUUUCCCCCAUUUGGAGCGUUAUUCCAAAUGCUUACUGCAUACGUCAUACUGAGUUAUGUGGCUUUUGUGCAGACAGAGAACACCUCAAUCUUAGAGAAUGAUGCUUCUUCUGUUAAGAAAAGGGAAGCUAAAAUAAUUACAGAACAUUGUAGUAUAAUUGAGCAGAGCUUCUGGGAAGCACAUCCAAGCUUCUUGGGUUAAAGUCUCUGAGACGUUCCAUAGAUUUUAUGUAGACCUGUCAAUUCGGAGGGUUGGGCCUAUUUGGUCGGGUAAAAUAGAGUUUUAAAAUUUUUGGGUCAUUUUCAGGUUCAAAUCAAUUUACUUGAACUUAAAUGUUAGAAUUAUUUUAUAAAAUAGAAUGAAAAAUGAACUUAUGCCGCAAAGGUUUCUUGUGCCAUUCUUUCACUUCAGGCCUUUUGCCUCUCUUCUUUUAUACUGAAAUGUUAGGUCUUAUAGUUGUUACCUUAACGGGACAAUGCUCAUCAGCAUCUCAAGUCUUCUUCUCUGCAGGUUGCUUCCCUACUUUGCCACUGUUCCAGUCUGGAUAGGCCUGUAUCAAGCUCUUUCAACUGUGACUAAUGAAGUAAUAAAGUGGUUGACUUUGCAUUGCAUUCUGAUUUCUGCAUGAUGUUGGGAAACUCUUUCACAUGUUAAAUAACUUUCAUCACUGAUUGAUGCAAUUUUUACUCAAAGGUUCUGUUGACAGAAGGUUUCUUUUGGAUCCCUUCUUUGGGUGGACCAACUACAAUUGCUGCUCGACAAAGCGGGUCUGGAAUUUCUUGGCUUAAUUCAUUUGUGGUAAUAAACUUACCCCCUAAACUUAUAAGGUUAAUAAAUCUCUUUGUUAUUUUUGUAUAUCCCAAUGUUUUAAGAUUACCUGGCCUUUUUCUUGUAUCUUUUACUUGUCUGUGACAACUUUCCUUCUUUUUUCAAGAUUGUACGGAGUUGUUAAAGAGACUUUCUGUUAUUACUUAUUUUAGCCUCUUUGGCAUUGAUAUAUUUAUUAGCAGUUGUGAGAGGGGCGACUGCUAUUUUUUGAAGAUUGAUAGUAUUGGUUUAACCUUUAUAAUUACCCUCUUACUUUGUAGCAUCUUCACCUUUGAUGAGAAGGAUUGAAAAAAUGUAGCUGAAAUUAAAUUAAGAACAGCAAAUUAGAGAUUUCAGAUGUAGCUUCUGUUAACCAGGCAUGGAGACCAUGUUGUCUUUGAUUCAUAUAUCUAAUUUUGUUAUCUAAUAUGAGGAGCAAUGGUCGUGCAGAAUAGCCACCGCCAUUAGGUUGGCAUGACACUGCGUCAUACCUUGUUUUACCUGUGCUUCUUGUUGUCGGUCAAUAUGUU
rnacentral:lncRNA from 1 species